GACCCCCCCACCCCCAGGCCUGCGAGGAGGAGGACUACAUCCGCUGGCUGAAGGGACAGGGGGACGUCCCCAAGGAGGAGCGGCUGCAGGACCUGGUCAGGGCAGCCAUGUGUCCCCGUGUCCUCAUGUCCCUGUGUCUUCGUGUCCUCAUGUCCCUGUGUCCUCAUGUCCCUGUGUCCCCAUGUUCCUGUGUCUUCAUGUCCCUGUGUCUCAGCGUCUCCGUGUCCCCAUGUCCCUGUGUCCCCAUAUCCCUGUCCCCGUGUCCCCAUGUCCCUGUGUUCCCACAUCCCCAAGCCUUGUGUCCCCAUGUCCCUAAACCCUAUAUCUGUGUCCCUAUCUCUCUGUCCUCGUUCCCAUGUCCCUGUUCCCUCAUCCUAGAAGCUCUCCCAACAUCUGUGACCCCACAUCCCUGUGUCCCCGUGUCCCCAAAGCCCUCCCAUGUCCCCAUAUCCCCACAUCCCUGUGUCCCCAUGUCCCCAAGCCCUCCAUCCUUAUCCUGUCUCCUUGUCCCCAAGGCUUCCUUCAUCUGUGUCCCUGUCCCCAUGUCCC
rnacentral:lncRNA from 1 species